ACGGGAGGCAGCAGUAGGGAAUAUUGCACAAUGGGGGAAACCCUGAUGCAGCGACGCCGCGUGAGUGAUGAAGUAUUUCGGUACGUAAAGCUCUAUCAGCAGGGACGAUAAUGACGGUACCUGACUAAGAAGCCCCGGCUAACUACGUGCCAGCAGCCGCGGUAAUACGUAGGGGCAAGCGUUAUCCGGAUUUACUGGGUGUAAAGGGAGUGAAGGUGGCCUGGCAAGCCAGAUGUGAAAGCCCGCGGCUCAACCGCGGGACUGCAUUUGGAACUGUUAGGCUUGAGUGCAGGAGAGGAAAGUGGAAUUCCUAGUGUAGCGGUGAAAUGCGUAGAUAUUAGGAGGAACACCAGUGGCGAAGGCGGCUUUCUGGACUGUAUCUGACACUGAGGCUCGAAAGCGUGGGGAGCAAACAGGACUAGAUACCCUGGUA
rnacentral:rRNA from 1 species